rnacentral:rRNA from 1 species
AACGAACGCUGGCGGCAUGCCUAACACAUGCAAGUCGAACGAGACCUUCGGGUCUAGUGGCGCACGGGUGCGUAACGCGUGGGAAUCUACCCUCAGGUUCGGAAUAACUCAGAGAAAUUUGAGCUAAUACCGGAUGAUGACGUAAGUCCAAAGAUUUAUCGCCUGAGGAUGAGCCCGCGUAGGAUUAGGUAGUUGGUGAGGUAAAGGCUCACCAAGCCGACGAUCCUUAGCUGGUCUGAGAGGAUGAUCAGCCACACUGGGACUGAGACACGGCCCAGACUCCUACGGAAGGCAGCAGUGGGGAAUAUUGGACAAUGGGCGAAAGCCUGAUCCAGCAAUGCCGCGUGAGUGAUGAAGGCCUUAGGGUUGUAAAGCUCUUUUACCCGGGAUGAUAAUGACAGUACCGGGAGAAUAAGCUCCGGCUAACUCCGUG